GGCCCUACGGGGCGCAGCAGGCUCGAAAACUUUACAAUGCGGGAAACCGUGAUAAGGGGACACCGAGUGCCAGCAUCAUAUGUUGGCUGUCCAGAUGUGUAAAAUACAUCUGUUAGCAAGGGCCGGGCAAGACCGGUGCCAGCCGCCGCGGUAACACCGGCGGCCCGAGUGGUGAUCGUGAUUAUUGGGUCUAAAGGGUCCGUAGCCGGUUUGGUCAGUCCUCCGGGAAAUCUGACGGCUCAACCGUUAGGCUUUCGGUGGAUACUGCCAGAC
rnacentral:rRNA from 1 species